UAUGGCCAUAUCACAUUGACACACUGGUUCUCAUCUGAUCACCAAAGUUAAGCAAUGUUGAGCCUGGUCAGUACCUAGAUGGGCGACUUUUUGGAAAUACCACAUGC